AUGACAAGACCAAAGGAAGCCAACUG
rnacentral:piRNA from 1 species